rnacentral:rRNA from 1 species
GACGAACGCUGGCGGCGUGCUUAACACAUGCAAGUCGAACGGGAUUUAGUAAACAGAAGCCUCGGUGGAAGAUUACUAAUGAGAGUGGCGAACGGGUGAGUAACGCGUGAGCAACCUGCCUAUGACAGUGGGAUAGCCUCGGGAAACCGGGAUUAAUACCGCAUAAAAUCGUAGAAACACAUGUUUUAACGGUCAAAGAUUUAUCGGUCAUAGAUGGGCUCGCGUCUGAUUAGCUAGUUGGUGAGAUAACAGCCCACCAAGGCGACGAUCAGUAGCCGGUCUGAGAGGAUGAACGGCCACAUUGGAACUGAGACACGGUCCAAACUCCUACGGGAGGCAGCAGUGGGGAAUAUUGCACAAUGGGGGAAACCCUGAUGCAGCGACGCCGCGUGAACGAAGAAGGUAUUCGUAUCGUAAAGUUCUGUCCUAUGGGAAGAUAAUGACAGUACCAUAGAAGAAGCUCC